rnacentral:rRNA from 1 species
AUCGAACGCUGGCGGCAUGCCUUACACAUGCAAGUCGAACGGCAGCGGGGGAGAAGCUUGCUUUUCCUGCCGGCGAGUGGCGAACGGGUGAGUAAUACAUCGGAACGUGCCCUGUAGUGGGGGAUAACUAGUCGAAAGCUUAGCUAAUACCGCAUACGACCUGAGGGUGAAAGGGGGGACCGCAAGGCCUCAUGCUAUAGGGGCGGCCGAUGUCUGAUUAGCUAGGUGGUGGGGUAAAGGCCUACCAAGGCGACGAUCAGUAGCUGGUCUGAGAGGACGAUCAGCCACACUGGGACUGAGACACGGCCCAGACUCCUACGGGAGGCAGCAGUGGGGAAUUUUGGACAAUGGGCGAAAGCCUGAUCCAGCAAUGCCGCGUGUGUGAAGAAGGCCUUCGGGUUGUAAAGCACUUUUGUCCGGAAAGAAAUGGCUCUGGUUAAUACCUGGGGUCGAUGACGGUACCGGAAGAAUAAGGACCGGCUAACUACGUGCCAGCCGCCGCCGUAACAC